rnacentral:miRNA from 1 species
UAAGUGAAUUCUCUACCUUCGGU